ACCACUUUUACUACAGAUAUUUUAAGACUAGUUAUAUUUUUGUGCAUCAUCAGAAGAGUCAGGUACAUCGGAGGCUGAGGAUUGCGGCUGGUCGUACGAGGAGGAAUGGCUGCUGAGCGGCAGGUCGCCGCCCAACUUGGUGGCGGGGCUGAGCGCGCCCGAGCUGCUGCAUCUCGCGCUCGGGGACCUCGUCUCCGGCUUGCUGCAGCGCGGCAAGUUCACGAUUCUCCAAGAGCUGUGUACAUACCUGGGCAGUAGCGGGGAGGGCGCGCUGUUCGCGCUGCACCGGCUGGCGCGCGCCGCUCGCUCUAGAAGCAGCGAGAGAGCUGCCAAUAAUUGGAAGUUACCGGAGUCAGUGGAUGAAGCAAGACAGUCAGUGCAGCGCUACCGGAGGCGGCCACCAG